AUACUUACCUGGCAAGAGAGAUACCAUGAUAGUGAAGGUGGUUUCCCCAGGGGGAGUCUUAUCCAUUGCCCGCCAGAUGUGCUGACCCCUAAAAUUUCCCUAAAGUGGAAAAAUCUACUGCUAUGGUAGUGGGGAACUGCAUUUGGCUCUCCUCUG